rnacentral:lncRNA from 1 species
UUUAACCCAUUUCUCUGACGUCAGUCUAUUGUUCUAACGGUGGAUUAUUUUUCAAGAAUCCACUGUCCACCAUGUUAACUUAAGAUAACUUAUAUCAUAACUUUUAACUUACGAUAUUUUGUCCUCUCAAAAACGAGUGACUCUUAUAGGUUCGAACUCGCGCGUAUUUUCGACAGUUAAGUCUGUAGUCUAUGCAUGAUACCACUAGACCACGAGUACUGAUAUAAAUUGCUAUUUAAAUAUCACUCUUAUAGCGUAUAUCUGUUAAUGCAUGUCAAUAAACUGUAUUUUAUUUUGUAAUCUAAUGAAAUAUAUAAACAUUAUAAAACCAAGGAAUUGUAGAUAUUACUUACUAGUACAAUUCCUUGAUAAAAUAAACAUCCAUG